ACUCGCUUCGGCAGCACAUGUACUAAAAAAAAUCAGAACGAUACAGAGAAGAUUAGCAUGGUCCCUGCGCAAAGAUGACACGCAAAUUCCAGCAACUGCAUACAUAGGG
rfam:Xenopus laevis strain J chromosome 2S, whole genome shotgun sequence.